rnacentral:lncRNA from 1 species
UCCCCCUCCUCCACCCCGCGUCCCGCCCCCCGGUCCCCCGGCCAGUCUGCAGGCACCUUUGUUCUCGGCCGCUGCUGUCCGCUGCGCGGUGAUUCACGACGCUGCAGAGGCGGGCGGAAGGGCGAGGGCGCCCCAGGCGGCACCCAGAGGACGCCUUGCUGGGUUCCUCCCCGCCCCAGCGUCCGCGCCGCGGGACCGUAGCUGGCGUCGCCACGGAGGGCACCUCAGGGGUAGCCGGGGGCGUGCGGAGAGGACGGGAGCCAGGGUCCGCCCUAGUCCACCUGGAUCUCGGCGCUGCGGUUAGGCGCAGGCACACGGCGGUGCAGAAGGAUGUGCCAGAGCUGGGGCGGCAACGAACCCGGUCCUGCCUGGGGGCCCAUCCCCAAUCCUGCGAGGAACUCUGUGUCCACGGGCCUCCUAGGGCUCCAUCCCCGGUCGUGUGAGGCCCACUGGAUCCCCUCCCCCCAUCAUGCAAGGCCCUCUGGAUCCCCUGGCCUGGCCUGAGGGGACUCCAUCCUUGGGCCUGUGUGUGGCUACCGAAGAGGCCGAGAGCCAGAGCGCAGCGCCUGCUCUCCUGGGAGCCGCUCACAGAUGGCCUACCAAGUCCAAAAGAAGGCGCAGACCCCCAGCUCUUCGCAGAGAUACAGCUAGCCUCAGCCUGUCCUUUCCUGCCUUUCCCACUUGCAUGCUGUGGGAGAUGGCCUUGCCCACAGUUGAUAACCCUUAAACUUCAUUCCAGUUGGUGUGUGCUUUCUUACAGACCAGCUUCCGAUUCUACAAAGAACGCACCUGAGAAAAUAGCCAGAAGUCCAUGGAAGAAGGAUGGAGUCAAAACUGCUCUGUCCGAGAGUGUGUAGAUCGUGCUCAAAGAAACCUGCCACAAAGAAAGGGCAUCUUUCCCCAAAGUUCUCCUCAUUGACCAGGAGGAACCUCUGUUAGAUUCUCUGGAUAAAUUCAUAGUUUAAAAAAAAAAAUGUAUUCAGUUAUUUGGUUCUACUCUUUCCCUAGAUCAAAUAUGAAUUGAAAACAUAUCAUUACAAGCCAAUGAAUACUGAUUCACCUUGCAAAACAAAGUAUGAAGGAAACACCAUAAGGAUUAGAUCCCUGCUGCCUGCCUCCCCCACCUGGGGCAGUUUCCCCUCCAAAGAGAAUGAUACAAACAUAUAAUUGUAUGUACAGGCAGCUUAGAUAGGAGAAAACUUA